GACGGGGGAUGCAAGCGUUGUCCGGAAUCACUGGGCGUAAAGCGUCUGUAGGUGGUGAUGCAAGUCACUGGUGCAAAACUCUGGCUCAACCGGAGGAAAGCCAGUGAAACUGCAUGACUAGAGUGUGGGAGAGGUAGAAGGAAUUCCCUGAGUAGCGGUGAAAUGCGUAGAUACAGGGAAGAACACCGGAGGCGAAAGCGUUCUACUGGAACACAACUGACACUGACCGACGAAAGCUAGGGGAGCGAAUGGG
rnacentral:rRNA from 1 species